UGAAGAGGACAGCUCAGUGGUAGAGCAUGAGACUCUUAAUCUCAAGGUUGUGGGUUCAAGCCCCAGAUUGGGCAAAA
rnacentral:tRNA from 1 species